UUGGAAAUGAACAUAAAUUAAGAUGUCAA
rnacentral:piRNA from 1 species